UGGCUAGUGGGCUACCCAACUGCUCCCACUGCAGCUCCUAUUACCCUUUGCAACCACUACAACCUGUCCCUCCUCUGCACCUAUUACAGCCUCUAUUCCCCCCUGUAUCCUCUACAGUCCCUCCCCCCUGUACCCUCUGCAGCCCCUUCCACUCGCACCCUUUACAGUCCCUUCCUUUCGGCACCCUCUGCAGUCCCUACCCCAUUGCACGCACAAACAUAAAGGGACAC